rnacentral:rRNA from 1 species
UACGAAGGGUGCAAGCGUUACUCGGAAUUACUGGGCGUAAAGCGUGCGUAGGUGGCCUGUGGAAGUCUGCGGUGAAAGCCCGGCGCUCAACGCCGGGUCGGCCGUGGAUACUCUCGGGCUCGAGCUUACUAGAGGCAGAUGGAAUUCCGGGUGUAGCGGUGGAAUGCGUAGAGAUCCGGAAGAAGCACCGGGUGGCGAAGGCGGUCUGCUGGGGUAUGGCUGGACACUGAGGCGCGACGAGCCGUGGGGAGCAAACAGG